GCUUGUCUCAAAGAUUAAGCCAUGCAUGUCUAAGUAUAAAUGGUAUACAGUGAAACUGCGAAUGGCUCAUUAAAACAGUUAUAGUUUAUUUGGUAUUCGAAUUUACAUGGAUAACCGUGGUAAUUCUAGAGCUAAUACAUGCAUUACGCCUGACUUUUCGGAAGGGCAGUAUUUAUUAGAUAACAGACCAUCUCCCCCAAAGGAAAUGUGGUGAAUCAUAGUAACUGAUCGAAUCGGCGCGCAAGCGGCGAUAAAUCAUUCAAGUUUCUGCCCUAUCAGCUUUCGAUGGUAGUGUAUUGGACUACCAUGGCAGUCACGGGUAACGGAGAAUUAGGGUUCGGUUCCGGAGAGGGAGCCUGAGAAACGGCUACCACAUCCAAGGAAGGCAGCAGG
rnacentral:rRNA from 1 species